ACAGAGAUAUCAUGAGCCUCUA
rnacentral:misc_RNA from 1 species